rnacentral:rRNA from 1 species
UUUAAUUAUCAUAUAUAAAAGUGAAAAUAUAAAAUAUAAAUUAAUUUUAGUUGGGGCAACUGGGAGGGAUAAAAAUCUUUUAUUAAAUCAUUUAUAAUAAUAUUUAUAUUUAUGAUCCAAAUUAGUUAAUUUUGAACUUAGAAU